GCCGACUGUUUACCAAAAACAUAGCUUUUAUAUAAAUUAAAGGUGAUACCUGCCCAGUGAUAAGAAAAUUAAAAUUAUAAUUAAAUUUAAAUCUUAUUAAACGGAUGCGGUAACUCUGACUGUAAUAAAGUAGCAUAAUAAGUUGUCAUUUAAUUGGUGAAAGGGAUGAAUGGUAAAACGAGCUUUUCAUUGUCUUAUUUAAAGAUUUUUUGAAAUUAAAAUAAUAGUGAAGAUUCUAUUUAAAAUCGUAAGACGAAAAGACCCUAUAGAGCUUUACUAUAAUUUUUUUUAGGUUAAUGAAAUUUUCAUGAAUUAAAUAAAUAUUGGUAGUUUAGUUGGGGCGACUGUUUUUUAUAUUUAACAAAAACAAGCAAUGUUAAUAAUUUAACUUAUUGUAUAACUAAAAAUUUUAACAAUUAUAAUAAUAGGCUAUAAUGACCCGUUAAUUUUUAUAAAUCAAUUUAACGAUUAAUUAAUAAAAGCUACCUUAGGGAUAACAGGAUAAUUUUGUUUUAGAGUUCUUAUCAAUUUCAAAGUUUGUCACCUCUAUGUUGAAUUAAGAUAUCCCAAUAAUGCAGAAGUUAUUAAAGGUAGGUCUGUUCGACCUUUAAAAU
rnacentral:rRNA from 1 species